GGUCAAGCUACAAAGGGCUCACGGCGGAUACCUUGGCACACAGAGGCGGUGAAGGACGUGGUUACCUGCGAUAAGUCUCGGGGAGCUGGAAGCACG
rnacentral:rRNA from 1 species